rnacentral:rRNA from 1 species
UGCCGUCGAUGCUAUGCGAGCGUUCCUCUCCCUGCGCAUUUAGACGUCCUCUGCGCCACAGGUACGUUAGAGGGGGAGGGCUAAGCGGUGGUCGCGCGAGGCGGAGGGAGAAGAGGGCGCACGGCGUCGAGCAGGGCAGCCGGUAGAGUGGUAGCAUCCGGUAGAGUGGUAAGCGUCGGUAGUAGGGGUGGCAGCGGGGGAGCACCCGUCGCCAUCCACGUCGAAGAGGUGCCUUCGACCGCGUGCCGCGACUUCGACGCCGUGAAGGCUGCUUAGACCCGGACCCGGACGAAGAAAGAAAUGUCCGACGGAGGUCGACAGUAUAUUAGUGGGGAGUUUUUUUGUUUUAGACAGUAUAUUAGGGAUCGGGAAAGUAGUGGCUUGUUUUUGUUUUUCUUAUCUUUGGGAUCGGUAGGCGGCCGAGGCGGAGCGGCGGUCUCGGGGGCCACCUUGUAUUACUUUAGUCGGCGGCCGCGGCGUCUAACACCCCCGUAUCGUUAUAGUAGUAGGUUAGGAGUGUUCUCCUGCUCCUCCCCCGUGUUCCCACAAGACAUCGAAGUGGUAGACGGAGAACUAUGAAAUUCACUGUAACACAGUAACAAUUCGAAGUUUCUCCGACGCGCGUACUCGCAUGACAGCUCGGUCACCUCUGUAGAGACCUCUAGUACAUAGUCUCUGGACCAGAAGUGAUCCCUCUGUUACACGACGGGGUACGGGUACUCGGCUCUCCUUGUUCUAGCUCUUCGAAAGUAGUCCUUACAACUCACGCAUAACACGGUUGAGCUAGGGUGGUAACGAUCCCUGUUUAAGCACGAGCUCAAGUUCGAGUAGUUAUGUUUACACGUCUGGGUACAACUGUCUACCCAGCGGAAAACACGUUGUAGUUCUCACUUCGUGUAACAGAAGUUAAAGUUUGGUCCCAGUACCCCGUUUGUGCUGUUAAGCAAGUUGAAGGGUUAUGUGGAAAAGCAGUUACCGCGAGGACGACAGUCUAGAAACACGGAGUACAGACGGAUGGAUUUGGGUCAUGGACCAAAAACACCGAAGUGUUUGGAAUCUUUCGAGUACGAGCUGAGCCACAGACCUCUAUAGGUCACGUACAACAACGGUCGCACGAGGUACGAACUCACCGAAUCGUAGCACGCAACGUGGGAGGUGUCGAACUGAUGAAGGGUUGGCAACGCGGUCAACGCUAUGGAUACACACGUGAUGACGAAGUUACACGUCUUCGAACUCCACGUUCGAGGCUUGGAAUUAUGGAAGUAUAAACCGUCGAACCUCUGGGUGGGUCACAGUAAAUAGUAACUACCUACAGAUCUCUAUGUCCUCCACUGAUAGUUCAACGGUUGUACCUCCUCACUGGAAAAAAUGAUGCGGAAGCGCGUAGUACCAUACCGCUUACACGGGUUCGAGAGACACCUUGAACGUUAACUAAGGUUCCACGGACCUACACGUUUUACGGGAUCAUUCAAACAGUUGGACUUCGUAGAAUAUAACUGGCAGCUACAUGAACGUUUACUAUUCAUAUGUUCACCGUAAGAAGCAAACCGAACAGAAAACCUUAAUUCGGGUCAAAACUUAGCAGAACUUGACGUACAUUCACUAGGUAGAGAAACUAUAAAUACAUGAUGUCAAUAGACUAGCUCGUUUUGUUGUAUUCAAUAUUUUAGCCCGAAAAGAGAAAUACAACAUUAUAGGACAGUAUUAUACAAAAAAGUAGCACGUAGGAUCAAUGACAAUUCGCCAUGAGGGAGGUAAGGUGUUACAUCACACGGGUGCGAAGAGCUCUAAGUUCAAACUGGCAUUUAAAUUGGUUGCUCUGACUGACGCCGCCUCGUUUUUAAUAUGGUAACUUAAGCUGGCAUUUAAAUCGGUUGCUCUGGCUGACGCCGCCCUUGUUUUUAAUAUGCUGACUUAAUAUAAUUUUUAUGCUUAAGUCACCAUAUUAAAAACGAGGACGGCGUUAGCCAGAGCAACCAAUUUAAAUGCCAGUUUGAACUUAGAGCCCUUCGCGCCCGCGUGAUGUAACACCUUACCUCUCUCAUACUUUGUACUGUAAUUACAUGUGAGUUAAAAGAGAGUACGUGUCAUCACGUCAUGGAGUCGUACGAUCUAAUAUAAUGAUAAAAAAUCGUAGUUCAUUAAAGUCCUAUUCCAACUAACAAAUUUCGCUCAACCGCAAUAACAAGAUUAAUUCGUUCUUAUUAAAAACUUGGUGUUUCGAAUGUACAGAGGCUACAGACUCGAUGAUCAAACGAUGUAAUUAACUGAAAAAAUAAAGGUCUCUCCACGAAAAUACUUUAUCACUAUUGACAAUUCAAACAAAACAAAUGACAGCACUCGGGCCGGGCACUUCACAUGAGUCUUGUCCUCUUCACACGCAUGAGUCUUGUCCUCUUCACAACUUAGCCUAUCUCAACGGGGGCCGGGCACUCGGUGUGAUAGUAGACUUCUGUAAUGUCUACUGGCCUCACAUGCCGAUGUUGUUGGACAAAUAAGACCGUGACGUAAUACGAGCUUGACGGUACCGCGAUCUCGUGUACCAGUAGCUAGGGCUCCGUUUCUUCUCGAUACAAGACUGAGCACUACGCCAUCUUCUCCUACGCCAGGUAACCCCGACUGCCUACCGGUUACUUGUAGAAGCCCCUGCUCCCAACCUACCGUAGGAGUGGUAGAACAUUUACCCUCCAGGGCGGUCCAUCUCUAACAUCAUAACAAAAAAUACGAACAUUUACCCUGCAGGGUGGCCCCUCUCUAACAUCAUAACAAAAAAUACCUACAAUAAAUGUCAUAGAAAUAAGGAUUUCACCCUAAACUAUCAAAGGUAAGGUA